ACGGCUCAGUAACACGUGGACAACUUACCCCUGGGACCGGGAUAACCCCUGGGAAACUGGGGCUAAUACCGGAUAGAGCAUCGGUUGCUGGAAUGCACGAUGGUCUAAAGCUGAGGCGCCCAAGGAUAGGUCUGCGGCCGAUUAGGUUGUUGUUGAUGUGACGGAUCAACAAGCCUACGAUCGGUACGGGUUGCGAGAGCAAUAGCCCGGAGAUGGGUUCUGAGAGAAGAACCCAGGUCCUACGGGACGCAUCAGGCGCGAAAACUUUACAAUGUGCGAAAGCACGAUAAGGGAACUCUGAGUGCCUCCUAAGGAGGCUGUUCGGGUGUCUAAAAAGCAUCCGAAGGAAGGGCUGGGUAAGACCGGUGCCAGCCGCCGCGGUAACACCGGCAGCCCAAGUGGUAGCCACGCUUAUUGGGUCUAAAGCGUCCGUAGCCGGCCAAGUAAGUUCUUUGGGAAAUUUGACCGCUUAACGGUCAAGCUAUCAGGGAAUACUGCUUGGCUUGGGACCGGGAGAGGUCAGAGGUACUCCAAGGGUAGGGGUGAAAUCCGUUAAUCCUUGGGGGACCACCGGUAGCGAAGGCGUCUGACCAGACCGGGUCCGACGGUGAGGGACGAAGGCUAGGGUCGCGAGCCGGAUUAGAUACCCGGGUAGUCCUAGCUGUAAACGAUGCGGGCCAGGUGUUGGCAUUACUGCGAGUGAUGCCAGUGCUGAAGGGAAGCCGUUAAGCCCGCCAUCUGGGGAGUACGGUCGCAAGGCUGAAACUUAAAGGAAUUGGCGGGGGAGCACCACAACGGGUGGAGCUUGCGGUUCAAUUGGAGUCAACGCCGG
rnacentral:rRNA from 1 species